GCAGUGGUGGUUCAGUGGUAGAAUUCUCACCUUCCUUUCAGGAGACCCAGGUUCGAUUCCUGGCCAAUGUA
rnacentral:tRNA from 1 species